UACGAAGGGUGCAAGCGUUACUCGGAAUUACUGGGCGUAAAGCGUGCGUAGGCGGUUUGUUAAGUCCGCUGUGAAAGCCCUGGGCUCAACCUGGGAAUUGCAGUGGAUACUGGCAAGCUAGAGUGCGGUAGAGGAUGGUGGAAUUCCCGGUGUAGCGGUGAAAUGCGUAGAGAUCGGGAGGAACACCAGUGGCGAAGGCGGCUCGCUGGGCCGGACCUGACGCUGAGACGCGAAGGCGUGGGGAGCGAACGGGAUUAGAAACCGGGUCG
rnacentral:rRNA from 1 species